GUAGCUCAGUGGUAGAGCACUUGUCUACCAUGCAUGAGGUCCUGAGUUUGAUUCCCUGC
rnacentral:tRNA from 1 species